rnacentral:tRNA from 1 species
GGAGGGGUGACCGAGUGGUCUAUGGUAACGGUCUUGAAAACCGUCGUUGCGCAAGCAACCGUGGGUUCGAAUCCCACCCCCUCCG